rnacentral:rRNA from 1 species
AGCGGUGGACGGGUGAGUAACGCGUGGGUAACCGUGCCUCAUACAGGGGAUAACAGUUGGAAACGGCUGCUAAUACCGCAUAAGCGCACAGUACCGCAUGGUACGGUGUGAAAAACUCCGGUGGUAUGAGAUGGACCCGCGUCUGAUUAGGUAGUUGGUGGGGUAACGGCCUACCAAGCCGACGAUCAGUAGCCGACCUGAGAGGGUGACCGGCCACAUUGGGACUGAGACACGGCCCAA